CGGGGGGGGGGCAAGCGUUGUUCGGGAAUUACUGGGGCGUAAAGGGGCGCGCAGGCGGCCUGGCCAGUCCUACGUGAAAUCCCACAGCUCAACUGUGGAACUGCGUGGGAUACUGCCAGGCUUGAGUCCGGGAGAGGAGAGUGGAAUUCCCAGUGUAGCGGUGAAAUGCGUAGAUAUUGGGAGGAACACCGGUGGCGAAGGCGGCUCUCUGGACCGGCACUGACGCUGAGGCGCGAAAGCUAGGGGAGCAAACGGGAUUAGAUACCCCGGUAGUCCUAGCCCUAAACGAUGAGCACUUGGUGUGGCGGGUAUCGACCCCUGCCGUGCCGAAGCUAACGCAUUAAGUGCUCCGCCUGGGGAGUACGGUCGCAAAGGCUG
rnacentral:rRNA from 1 species